CCUCCUUCUUGGCAUACUCGUGGUUUUUUUGUACCCUUGUGUGUAUGUGUGGAGGAAUAAUAGAGCCAGUGCAAUGUCUUCGGUACCAGCAUGUUUCCCAUCGGCUGGUUCUAUCCUCAAUCACUGGAACACCU